GAGAGGUUUGUUUUGUUCAUGUGUGGAGAGGUGGCUGCAGUCAGUGAUGAUUUUACAACACGCUGUCUCCUGCUGUUUAAAGGAUUUAGGCUGGGAUGAAAUGUUUUCUAAUAAUUAGUGAUUUUUGUGUUUGUUUAUCACCUGCACGGAGUUCCGUGAAAAGGAAAGCAUCCCUUUUCUGUGUUGAAUUUCACACACAGAGUGGAGCGCGUCAGUCGCAGCUACAGACAAGUCGAGCUUUUCAAUGAGAUGAUUUACUGAGAAACAAACGCGUUGAAGCUCCAGCAGAGCUCUGCGCGAUUCUGAAAGACCAAAGUAAAGUUACUCCUUGCAAAGCCUGUUGUUUGUGUUCUUUCUUUAUCACACCAGAAGAAGUGAUGAAUAUAUUUGAAUGGGAAGGCUACAGUAAAAAAUAAAUAUUACUAAAUACAAACCGCAGGCGGUGUUUCUGAUUGAAAAGAGGAUUCCGCUAGACCAGUGUGAAACUCAAACCAGUGAAGAUGGACGCGUCAGUGUGUCCGUGUCGCUCUUUCAAGACGAGCUCGCCUCUACCAUCGAGCACGCAGUGAAAGCGGCUCUACACACCGUCUUGUGCGCGAUUACUAAAGCUGUCGUCAGCAAAUUCACUGAAUUCAGAGUGGAAAUGUAACAAAAAGGAGAAAGAGAAUGAAAGUCUGAAGCUGAGAUUGGAAAUAUCAGAGAACGAGCUGAAAGCUGUGCGAGCGUGUAUAAACGCUGCAGAUGCAGACAUUAAACAGCCUUUAAUAUUUCAAGAUCCCAAAGAGAGCCACACUAUCCCUGAAUCGGAAGCACAGGAAGGGCCAAAGAUAGAAGCAGGAGUGGUGUGCAAGUCUAAUGCAGGUUACAGAGCUGGCAUGUGUUAAAGAUGAAGAGGUCCCUCAACAGGAAUGUGUUCCUAUUAAAGAGGAAUUCAUAGAGCAGGAAUGUGUCCCCAUCGCAGAGGAACUUCCUCAUGAAAAUCAAGCUGGGAUCCAACCUGUGUGGUGACUCUCCAUCUGAAUGUGAACUGGGAUUUAGAGGUAAUCCUACAAAACAAGCAGCAUUGAGCUGCCUGUUCAUCCUGCAGAACCUGGUACUGAACACCAGCAGUGUGCUUGAGAUUCAUAUUUUAACCAAGGGGAGCUGCCCAACCACUAUGUCAACAAGGACAUCACUGUGCUUGCUUCUGAGGCACCUGCUAGAUGUGCUGCCGCUGCCACGUCUCUUGAGAAUGCUGUGAGAUCAGCGGUGUCCAAUCACGCUCCUGGAGGCCAUUCCACUGGAGGCAGAUGAUUCAGGCGACAGUGAUGCUGAGCUGGACAGUGAUGGACUCAAAGGAGAGCGGGAGUUGGGAGACAAUAUGAUGGAGAAAAGAGCUGACAUGGAUUCUGAAGUGGUCCUGACACAGUCCAUGGUAGUGAAGAAGGAUGCCCUGUCCAAAAGAUACUACAGAAGUAAGUGUGUGUCUCUCUGGAGCUGGCUCCUGGUUUGGGUGAACUGCAUGGAUUGUAGACUGAAGGUCAAUUGAUUGAAGACAUUCCAGUAAAUGGAACUCAAACAUGAAUAUAAAGUGAACUAUUAAAUCCAAUAACCACUGUUUCUGUUUUUCUUUUUCUUUGGAACAGCUUACUGUUGUAAGUAUUUUAUUUUAUUA